UACGUAGGGCGCAAGCGUUGUCCGGAAUUAUUGGGCGUAAAGAGCUCGUAGGCGGCCUGUUGCGUCCGCUGUGAAAUCCCGGGGCUCAACCCCGGGCCUGCAGUGGAUACGGGCUGGCUAGAGGCAGGCAGGGGAGAACGGAAUUCCUGGUGUAGCGGUGAAAUGCGCAGAUAUCAGGAGGAACACCGGUGGCGAAGGCGGUUCUCUGGGCCUGUACUGACGCUGAGGAGCGAAAACGUGGGGAGCAAACAGG
rnacentral:rRNA from 1 species